rnacentral:rRNA from 1 species
GACAGAGGGUGCAAACGUUGUUCGGAUUUACUGGGCGUAAAGCGUGUGUAGGCGGCUUCGCAAGUUGGAUGUGAAAUCCCACGGCUCAACCGUGGACGUGCAUCCAAAACUGCGUCGCUAGAGUCUCGGAGAGGAAGGUGGAAUGCUUGGUGUAGAGGUGAAAUGCGCAGAUAUCAGGAAGAACACCUAUGGCGAAGGCAGCUCUCUGGGACGGUACUGACGCUGAGACGCGAAAGCGUGGGGAGCGAACAGG